rnacentral:lncRNA from 10 species
AUCCUUGGCACCUGUUUGGAAUCUGUUAUGCCAUCAUGUGACCAGCAGUGACGUGCACUGCAAACACAAACACUGAUUUACGCUUCACUUAUUAGAGCGGAUGCAAGGUCUUUCCAAGGACAGAAGAAAUUUGCCUUUAAACAGAUUCGGAGAGCACAGAGAGAAAGCAAAGCCCUUAUGGAGAAGUCCAUGGAUCGAGUUAGGGAACUCGGAAGAGAAAGAAAACAAAAUGUGAACUCUGCCUGGAGAGGAAGAUAGACCUCGCCAGGGAGGAGCCACUGCUCCUAACUGGCAGGGCACAAGGAAUGGAGAUGGCAUUUGCAAGAGAUGGAGGUCAGCUGGUGUAAGGGUGUGUGGAUUAUUAUCUUCAUUUUACACACGAGAGAACCAAAGCAGCCAGACGUUAAAUUCCUUGCCCAAGAUCACAGCUGGUAAAGAGCUUUGGAGCCAGGUGGACUCCAGAGCCCACACUGUAUUCGUGCAGCACUGAGUGUGAACGUAGUUUCAUCACUUCAUGUAGUGAUGACACUUCCUGCACUGAGUAUGGUUCCCCAUCUCAAUCCCUGUUCUCCUGUGAGCAUACUUAUACUCAGUUACUGGACUACUAUGAGGACAGACAAUUAUAUCUAUCAAAGUAUUGGUAGUAGUGUCUAGCACAUGAUGGGCAUUCCAUUAAUGACAAAUAUUACUGUAAUUCUCAAAAUAACAUCUGAGAUGCGAAUAACUCUCUAAUGCCUCAUGAACUUCAAAGUUUGCUUGUUUGUAUGAGGG